AUUAAGGUGUGAGAAUGCUUCAGGUAGGCUGUGGGCUAGGUGAACACAUUAAGGUGUGAGAAUGCUUCAGGUAGGCUGUGGGCUAGGUGAACACAUUAAGGUGUGAGAAUGCUUCAGGUAGGCUGUGGGCUAGGUGAACACAUUAAGGUGUGAGAAUGCUUCAGGUAGGCUGUGGGCUAGGUGAACACAUUAAGGUGUGAGA